UCAUCAACCCUGUGAACAUACCUAUAACGUUGCCUCGGCGGGAACAGACGGCCCCGUAACACGGGCCGCCCCCGCCAGAGGACCCCCUAACUCUGUUUCUAUAAUGUUUCUUCUGAGUAAACAAGCAAAUAAAUUAAAACUUUCAACAACGGAUCUCUUGGCUCUGGCAUCGAUGAAGAACGCAGCGAAAUGCGAUAAGUAAUGUGAAUUGCAGAAUUCAGUGAAUCAUCGAAUCUUUGAACGCACAUUGCGCCCGCCAGUAUUCUGGCGGGCAUGCCUGUUCGAGCGUCAUUACAACCCUCAGGCCCCCGGGCCUGGCGUUGGGGAUCGGCGGAAGCCCCCUGCGGGCACAACGCCGUCCCCCAAAUACAGUGGCGGUCCCGCCGCAGCUUCCAUUGCGUAGUAGCUAACACCUCGCAACUGGAGAGCGGCGCGGCCACGCCGUAAAACACCCAACUUCUGAAUGUUGACCUCGAAUCAGGUAGGAAUACCCGCUGAACUUAAGCAUAUCAAUAAG
rnacentral:rRNA from 1 species